rnacentral:rRNA from 1 species
UACGUAGGGUGCAAGCGUUUGUCCGGAAUCAUUGGGCGUAAAGAGCGUGUAGGCGGCCCGGUAAGUCCGCUGUGAAAGUCGGGGGCUCAACCCUCGAAUGCCGGUGGAUACUGUCGGGCUAGAGUGCGGAAGAGGCGAGUGGAAUCCUGGUGUAGCGGUGAAAUGCGCAGAUAUCUGGAGGAACACCGGUGGCGAAGGCGGCAUCCUGGACCAACACUGACGCUGAGUGAGCGAAAGCCAGGGGAGCAAACGGG